rnacentral:rRNA from 1 species
GGGCUAAGCGUCGUAGCUGGCUGCGCAAGUCGUCGGGAAAUCCACUCGCCCAACGAGUGGGCGUCCGACGGAAACUGCACAGCUUGGGACCGGAAGGCUCGAAGGGUACGUUCGGGGUAGGAGUGAAAUCCCAUAAUCCCGCACGGACCACCGAUGGCGAAAGCACUUCGAGAAAACGGAUCCGACAGUGCAGGGACGAAAGCCACGGUCUCCAAC